CUCCACCUUCCCACUACAGCUCCCCAUCCUGCUGUAAGUCACCUCCACUGCUUAAUAAAGUCUCUGCAUUUAUCACCUUUCAAACAGUAUGUGUGACCUGAUUCAUCCAGAAUGCCAGACAAGAAUCCAAGGCGGGGUGAACACUCAGCUGUUCCUGGAUGGCAAGGCUAAAAGAGCACACUGUAACACACAUCCAUUGGGCUCCAGCAUCUGCCUGUCUGAGUGCUCCUGCUUCCCUCAGGGGUUUGAGCUGUGGGGUGACUGAACAGAGGUCUCAUUGGCACACGGGACUGGAGCAGAGACCUGGGGCAACUGAAGACAUCAUUUGCUGGAAGACUCCGACACUGAACUUUGUCAGCCAGGACCCCCAGACUUCACUUGGUGUCUUUUCUUUUCUCACAGUUUACAGUGGCUCUUAUCACUUCCUUUAUAAUGUUAAGGGUUUUGCUACAGGCUGCAGCAGUGAUAUUAAAUAAAGUGAGCAUUUGGCUCAGCUAUCAAAGGUACAAAUCAGAGCAAUGUGGUUUUCAUUUAGAGGUGCCAUCCUUACUCCCACCCUGGUAGCCAAAGGGGCACAUGGCACAGGACACCUCCUCUCUGUACCGCCUCCCCUCCCAGCUCAGGUGCCUGGUGUGUCCACUGCAUGCAAAAGCUGUGCCCAACAACCAUGAAGGGUGGAAGAAAACCACAGCUGCUUCUGGGACCCCACAGGGCUGGCUGGCCAGUGCUUCCUGCUCACCACACCAACAGAACUUUUUACCCUGGCCAAGGAAUACAAACAGUCUGAACCAACAGAAAGAUACAAUGAUCAAAGGGACCUAUUUGCACUGUGCAAGGGCUACCUCCUCUUUUGCCUUUAAACUCCUUUUUCUUUUCUUUUCUUUUCUUUCUUUUCAAGUGAAAGCAUUUCCCUCCCCAGCACGCUGCUUCUGACAGGGAAGUUAACAGAGGAGUGACCCCUGCUGGCAGAUAACUGUAAAUUUGGCAGGG
rnacentral:lncRNA from 10 species